UUGCUCCUCCGCCCUGCAGCAGCCAAUUGCCGCCACUCUGCUGUCCACGCUCAGCCACCCAGCCUGCCUAUUCCGCCUCCCACUUCUCCGCCUUGCUGCUCCACCACCCGAAACUUCUUCCACUUUGCUGCUCCACCAUCAGCAAUUCUCUUACCUCCAACUCCACACCGUCUUCGUCACUCUGUUUCACCUACUUCCGCAAUCUCGUAGCUGCCCCUUUCCUGUCCAAAGCUUCCGUCCUCCUCUCGCCCCGACCUUCCGCAGCUCAUCUCUCACCCAUGACCACCAUCAUCUCGCGCUGCCUUCUUUCUCUACCUUCCCGACUCUCUCGAGCC
rnacentral:lncRNA from 1 species